GUAAAGGUGUCUAUCAAAUUUAAAGUGAUGUUGUUUAAUAGUAAGAAAUGCUACUAAAUGAUUAGUUAUGGUCUGAAAAAAGAGUAAAUGACAUCAAGGAGUAUUUAAGUAGGAAAAAAGCAGGUUUAUUUUUUGUGGAGCUUACAGCUGGCUCUGUUCUUGUUUUGUACAAAAUGGCCUUUUUAAUAUCCUGCUGUGACUUUGGAACUGCUCAGUAAUUCAUGAAUACAUUAGGUUGAUAUGGCUAGUGGGAUGUUUACAUUUGAGUAUAGUUGUGUAUCUUAAUUGGAGCUGUCAGGGAAGACAAGAAGGGAGGGAAAGGAACAGUUAAGAUAAGCCGCAUCUCCACAAAUAAUUGUGAGCUCUAUCCCAUCAGCUCAGGAAGAAGGUUGUGUAAAGGAACAUACAACCAAGACUGGGGGAGUCUCAGUUGUGUCCAGUCUAAAGAGCUGGAUGGACCCACAGACACCAGGAGGCAUUUGUGAAAGAACUGGAUUUCUUAGGUUACCUUACCUAAAAUCCUUUCUCCUCAAGACUUACAUCCUGGAAUACUUAAGACUGCAGCUGGCCCUGUAGCCGUGAGUGCUGCUCCAGAAGACAAAGCUCCUCGGCACAACACAAAGCAAAUACAGACUGUCUUAGAAACACUCCCUUCUAGGUAGGUAUUCAAAACCUCUGGGUAUAUUUUGGACCUUUUGCACCCUAAGUAUUAAAUCAGCUAUAGAAAUGUUCCACCUAGAGAAAAAAAAAGAAAUGCUACCUAAAUAGCUAAGGAAAAAGGAGGAAAGAAGUGAUUAUUUAAAAAAAAAAAAAAAAAAAAAAAACCUCCCCAGGCAUGCUCACUGCUUUGUGUUAUGCAUACAUGCACUUACACAGUGAGUGUUUUUCUUAGAUUGUCCAGCCAUUGAUGCAGGGUACAAUUCCACCAGCAGACGUGCAAAUAAUAUAUCAGAAUUACUACCUAAAUGUGUGCAAACAGAGCAUUCCUUAUGGCCUAUCAAGAGAAAAAUAUGCUUAGGGUACAGCUAUUACAGCAGAAUAUUAAUGACAAAUGUAACCCUGAGCAGGAACUUGGAGUGUCUUAUUAAAACAUACUCAGUUUCCAUAUUAACAAUGCAAAGGCAAAAGCUGGUGUAUCUCUUAUUCAAUAUGAAAGUAAUUAUCUAUAUUUUACAUGUGCUAAAAUGUUUCCUAGUCGCCAACACGUAAUUAACCCAAAGUAAUUUUAUUUGUUCAUUUACACACUGCAAGCAGAUGUCUAUUUAAAUAAGCAGCAAAUUUAGUUUUUGUCACUUCGGGUUUUGAUUAUAAAGCUGUUUUAUUCCCCGAGGGAAAAAUAAGUUGAUUUCCAAGGCUGGAUUUGAUUAGUGCUUGAUCAGAGGAUCUCCAGGUAGGGGCUGUGUCCUGUGGUGGUUUGACUUCCCACUUCUUUCUACCCGGAUAUGAAGGUGGUGGACUCUAGACUUUCAAACUCGAUCUAAAGGAAAGAGAUUGCUUUUUUUUA
ensembl:lncRNA